CGCGUAGGCGGAUUGGAAAGUUGGGGGUGAAAUCCCGGGGCUCAACCCCGGAACUGCCUCCAAAACUAUCAGUCUGGAGUUCGAGAGAGGUGAGUGGAAUUGCGAGUGUAGAGGUGAAAUUCGUAGAUAUUCGCAGGAACACCAGUGGCGAAGGCGGCUCACUGGCUCGAUACUGACGCUGAGGUGCGAAAGUGUGGAGAGCAAACA
rnacentral:rRNA from 1 species